CCUACGGGAGGCAGCAGUGGGGAAUAUUGGGCAAUGGGCGCAAGCCUGACCCAGCAACGCCGCGUGAAGGAAGAAGGCUUUCGGGUUGUAAACUUCUUUUCUGAGGGACGAAGAAAGUGACGGUACCUCAGGAAUAAGCCACGGCUAACUACGUGCCAGCAGCCGCGGUAAUACGUAGGUGGCAAGCGUUAUCCGGAUUUAUUGGGUGUAAAGGGCGUGUAGGCGGGAAAGCAAGUCAGAUGUGAAAACUGAGGGCUCAACCCCGAGACUGCAUUUGAAACUGGUUUUCUUGAGUGCUGGAGAGGCAAUCGGAAUUCCGUGUGUAGCGGUGAAAUGCGUAGAUAUACGGAGGAACACCAGUGGCGAAGGCGGAUUGCUGGACAGUAACUGACGCUGAGGCGCGAAAGUGUGGGGAGCAAACAGGAUUAGAUACCCCAGUAGUC
rnacentral:rRNA from 1 species